rnacentral:lncRNA from 1 species
CUCCCCCGUGUCUCGCCCCCGUGUCUCGCAGGCGGCUGUGGAGCCCCCGCAGCAGCGAUGGAGCCCCGCUGCCCGCCCUGGCUGCAGAGCUUUGCCCGGCCGUGCCGCCUCCUGCUCCACGCGCUGGCCUCCGGCCCCGCCGGGGCACUCGCCGCCCUCCGGAUGCUGCAGCGGGACCAGCCCCGCGAGGGACCGGGACAGGCGUUCCCCUGGCAGGCCCUCACCGCAGCCCUGUGCGCCGAGGAGCCCGUGCUGGAGGAACCACAGGGCGUCCUGGCAGUGUGAGUCAGAUGCGUUUCUAAAACUUGGUGUUUGUGGGAGGUUUGGCGUGUCAGAUGCCUAAUUUGAGUCCGCAUGUCCACUUACCCCAGUGCAGCGGUCCAUGCCUGAGUCUGGGAUCGUAGCAGCGGCCAGCUGGUCUCCCAGCUUGUGUCUGCAAAAGCUGGUGAAGGCGUUAGCUGCUGCCUCCUCUUGCUCCAUAGAGAGGCACACAGGGCAGCUUGGAGUCAGGACGAGGAGGUUUGCUGUGACAAGUUGCCUUUCCUUUUCUCCCCUUACCCAGCAAGCCACGGCUGCUGCUGCUGCCCAUCAUGUGCCAGAGAAACUUCUUCUCCCUGCUCCUCAUGAUGCGGGAUGCAGUACCAGGAGGCUGCCUUGGCCAGCUGCUCCAGGCCAUGGAACAGGAUUCCCAUGUGGAUCCCUGGAUGCGGACGCUGGGGGGUCUGCUCCAGCAGGGACCAAGAACAGAAGAGCGCUUCCCAUCUCCCACUCCACUCUCGUCUACAUGCCAGCAGCAGCUUAGGUGCCUGUGCCAGAAAAUUGCCCAGAACAAACCAGAGGGGCAAAGGAAAUUGAACUGGUGCUUUAGGAAGCAACCUGGUGCCACUGGAGAUGUGGCUGACUCUGUGCCUCAAGGUGGAAAGCGCAAGAAAGUGUUGGAGGAGGGAGCGGAGUUGGUCAGUGACAGAGAGAGGAAGAGAUUGCUGCUGGAGGAGGUGGCGUUUGACCCUCUGGGACCCCAGGAAUGUGGGGAUGUGACAGGGAUAGAAGAGGAGGUGCCUGAGGAGCCUUCAGUGGGUACAUGUGCUGAGAGCACAGAUGGGGCUGCUCCAGACAGCUCCCAGCAGGAUGCAGUUGGGGAGCUCAGGAAGAGUCCUGAAACAGAGCUGGCAGCAGAGGCCCAGUCCUUUCUCCAGGUACUGGGUAGGGUUUGCUCUCCCCUUCCAGACAGUGAGCCUUUACAGCCUGAUUCCCCUUCCUUCAUCUCAUUUCCCUCAGAUGCAUGGACAGAAGCUGAAAAUGCUGCUGCUGCAGGAGUCCAGCCACUCCGAGCUGAGCAUCCCGCCUGAGCUGUGCAUCCUGAACAGCUGCUCCCCCAGCCAGCUUGAAGGACUGUGCUCCUUCCUCCAGCUGUCUGUGUGCCCAGAGCCCUUCAUGGGGCGUUUCUGCAGGUGGCUGCUGGCUCUCACCCCUGACCUCAGCUACACCAGCGCGGCCAUCCUGGCAGAGCAGCUCUUCCUCAGGCGAGUACGUGCAAGGGCAGCAGAAGUUUCCUGCUCCCUGUUUCCCUUCUCCACCAUCCCCACCUCCUACCUUUUCUGUCCCUAGGUCCUGUCCCUUACCCAACCACCUUCCCGACACCUCAUGGCUGCCCUCGCUUCAUUUUGCUCCAAGUAUUCCCAACCCUUCUGCCAUGUGCUGGUGGCUGCGGUCCUGCAGGAGCCAGGGGAAGGUGCGGUGGGCUUGUGGGAGACAUGGCUGUGGGAGCUGGAGAAGGACCCUGUGCUGGUUUAAAAGUUAACCAGCAGGGGGAAUGAACCCAACUCAAAGGAGAGAUUAUAAG